GGGAUCACAUAGUCAUCCUGAGCAAGUCACACACAAUUGUAAAUAUCUCAAAAUAUAGAAUUCCUUUGCUUGAUAUGUUUCUUUUAUUUGAAAAUAGACUCAUUAAGCUUUAAUUUCACAUCUCAUUCAACCUCUAAUUAAAUUCCUUAUAUUUUUGGUGAAUUUUCAAAAUCCCGUCACUGCUACAGUCCAAAACAGUUUUAAUGCUAAUUUCACUCUUUCACACAUUCUUUAUACUAACCUCAUUU
rnacentral:lncRNA from 1 species